rnacentral:rRNA from 1 species
AUGAAGCUGGAAUUGCUAGUAAUGGCAGGUCAGCAUACUGCCGUGAAUACGUUCCCGGGCCUUGUACGCACCGCCCGUCACACCAUGAGAGUUGGGAAUACCCGAAGCCUGUGAGCUAACUUAUAGAGGCAGUAGUCGAAGGUAGAAUCAAUGAUUGGGGUGAAGUCGUAACAAGGUACC